CGUAGGGCGCGAGCGUUGUCCGGAAUUAUUGGGCGUAAAGGGCUUGUAGGCGGUUUGGCCGCGUCUGCCGUGAAAUCCUCUGGGCUUAACUGGGGGCGUGCGGUGGGUACGGGUUGACUUGAGUGCGGUAGGGGAGACUGGAAUUCCUGGUGUAGCGGUGGAAAUGCGCAGAGUAAUCAGGAGGAACACCGGUGGCGAAGGCGGGUCUCUGGGCCGUUACUGACGCUGAGGAGCGAAAGCGUGGGGAGCGAAACAGGAUU
rnacentral:rRNA from 1 species